rnacentral:rRNA from 1 species
GAUCAUGGCUCAGGAUGAACGCUAGCGGCAGGCUUAACACAUGCAAGUCGAGGGGCAGCAUAAUGGAUAGUCAAUAUCUAUGGUGGCGACCGGCGCACGGGUGCGUAACGCGUAUGCAACCUACCGUUUAACAGGGGGAUAAACACUGAGAAAUUGGUACUAAUACCCCAUAAUAUCAUAGAAGGCAUCUUUAUGGUUGAAAAUUCCGAUGGUUAGAGAUGGGCAUGCGUUGUA